AGCGAACGCUAGCGGCGGGCUUAACACAUGCAAGUCGAGCGCCUGGCUUCGGCCAGGAGCGGCGAACGGGUGAGUAACACGUAGGUUACCUGCCCUCUGGUGGGGAAUAACCCAGGGAAACUUGGGCUAAUGCCGCAUAUGGUCUACGGAUCAAAGCCUUCGGGCGCCAGAGGAUGGGCCUGCGGCCCAUUAUUUAAUCCUAGUUGGUGGGGUAACGGCCUACCAAGGGUACGAUGGGUAGCUGGUCUGAGAGGAUGAUCAGCCACACUGGGACUGAGACACGGCCCAGACUCCUACGGGAGGCAGCAGUGGGGAAUAUUGCGCAAUGGGCGAAAGCCUGACGCAGCCACGCCGCGUGUGUGAUGAAGGCCUUCGGGUCGUAAAGCACUGUCGGGAGGAAAGAAGUUCUGACGGUACCUCCCAAGAAAGCACCGGCUAACUCCGUGC
rnacentral:rRNA from 1 species